CCGAGGUUUACAACUCCCAACCCCUGUGAAUUAUACCUUAAUUGUUGCUUCGGCGGGACGGUUAACGCGCCCGCCAGGGGACCCAAACCUUCUGAAUUUUUAUAGUAUCUUCUGAGUGUUAAAAAAAUGAAAUCA
rnacentral:misc_RNA from 1 species